AUUGAACGCUGGCGGCAGGCCUAACACAUGCAAGUCGAGCGGAUGAGGGGAGCUUGCUCCUGGAUUCAGCGGCGGACGGGUGAGUAAUGCCUAGGAAUCUGCCUGGUAGUGGGGGAUAACGUCCGGAAACGGGCGCUAAUACCGCAUACGUCCUGAGGGAGAAAGUGGGGGAUCUUCGGACCUCACGCUAUCAGAUGAGCCUAGGUCGGAUUAGCUAGUUGGUGGGGUAAAGGCCUACCAAGGCGACGAUCCGUAACUGGUCUGAGAGGAUGAUCAGUCACACUGGAACUGAGACACGGUCCAGACUCCUACGGGAGGCAGCAGUGGGGAAUAUUGGACAAUGGGCGAAAGCCUGAUCCAGCCAUGCCGCGUGUGUGAAGAAGGUCUUCGGAUUGUAAAGCACUUUAAGUUGGGAGGAAGAGCAGUAAGUUAAUACCUUGCUGUUUUGACGUUACCAACAGAAUAAGCACCGGCUAACUUCGUG
rnacentral:rRNA from 1 species